AUGACUCAGACUUUGACAGCGGUCUCCGCGGGGCAUAUGGCCAAACAUCUCUUUGUAGUAUGGCUCUGGUGGAUAGCAAAUACUAGACGCCGAGCCUGUAGCAUACUCCCUUCUCUUCGUUCUUCCGCCAUGCAUCCCACAACCAAUCUCUUGUUCACCACCUUCAUCAUCAUAAGCAUAGCUUCAUCUUCACAAGUGGUGCAUGCACUAGCACCACAACCACAGCAUGCCCAUGGCGGCGGCUGCAUCCCAGCUGAGAGGGCCGCCUUGCUCUCCUUCCACAAAGGCAUCACAAGUGAUAGCGCUCAUGUCCUCGCCUCGUGGCAUGGACAUGAUUGCUGCCAGUGGAGGGGAGUCAGCUGCAGUAACCAAACAUGCCAUGUCAUCAAGCUUCACCUUCGCAAUACAAGCCCGGGCCUUUACACCGCUGGUUCGUGUAGUGAUGCUAAUUCAUUGGUCGGCGAGAUAAGUCCCUCUCUGCUUUCCUUGAACCAUCUACAGCACCUGGAUCUUAGCAUGAACUGUUUACUAGGACCAAAUGGCCAUAUUCCUCAGUUCUUGGGUUCCAUGGAGAACUUGAGAUAUCUUAACCUCUCUGGCAUGACAUUUACCGGCAGAGUUCCUUCUCAGCUUGGCAACCUGACUAAGUUGCAGCAUCUUGACCUUGGCAAGGGUUAUUAUUACGGGAUGUACUCAACGGACAUCAGCUGGUUAACAAACCUACCUUUGCUGCAAUACCUUAGCAUGAGCACAAUAAAUCUCUCAAGGAUAGCUGACUGGCCUCAUACACUGAACAUGAUUCCAUCACUAAGGGUUAUCAACCUUGCUGAAUGUUUACUUGAUACUGCAAGCCAAUCACUUCCCCACCUUAACCUCACGAAACUUGAGAAGCUUGAUCUGUCCUUGAAUAAUUUGGACCACUCAAUUGCAUCAAGUUGGUUUUGGAAAGUGUCGAGCCUCAAAUAUCUUAGUCUUCAGGGGAAUCUCCAAGCGAAUUGGUUAUUUGGCAAACUUCCUGAUGCAAUAGGAAACAUGACGUCACUCAAAGUCCUUGAUGUGUCAUUUACCAAUUUGAAUGAGACUGGAAACCUUAAAAACCUUUGUUGUUUGGAAAUUCUUGACCUCUCUGGAAAUCUUAUGAAUGGAGAUAUAGCAGUGUUGAUGGAGGGGUUGCCACAAUGUGCAUGGGAGAAAUUGCAGGAGCUGCAUUUCAGGGGAAACAAAUUCAUGGGGACCCUACCAAAUGUUGUAGGGGAAUUCAGCAGCUUAAGAAAGCUUGACCUGGUCAACAACAACCUUGUUGGAGCUAUACCACCAGGGCUUAUGAAUUUGGCGCAUUUAACCAUCCUUGAUUUUAGUGAGAAUCAGCUCAAUGGAAAUGUACCAAGUGAGAUUGGUGGCCUUACUGCUUUGACUUAUUUGGGCAUAGACAGCAACAACUUGACUGGAGGUAUACCAGCCGAGCUUGGAAAACUGAAGUAUUUGGCUACCCUUCAUCUCUCAGGCAACAAAAUUACUGGACCUAUACCACCAGGGCUUAUGCAUUCAACUAGCUUAACCAUCCUAGACCUUUCCAGUAAUUACCUUGAUGGAAGUGUACCCACUGAAUUAGGUUCCCUCGAGAAUCUGUUAUAUCUGGACCUAAGAAACAACAACCUUAGUGGUGUGAUCACGGAAGAACACUUUGUAAACCUAAAAAGUUUAAAGAUUAUAAACUUGUCCUACAACAAUUUGAAGAUUGUAGUGGAUUCAGAUUGGUGUUCAUCCUUCAAGCUACAGAUUGCAGAUUUUGCAUUGUGCCAAGUGGGUCCUCUUUUUCCAGCCUGGCUUCAACAGCUACAUGGAGUCAGUAUACUUGACAUUUCGAGCACUGGCUUAGCGGACAAGUUUCCUGAUUGGUUUUGGUAUACAUUUUCACAGACAAAAUAUCUCGACGUCUCUAAGAACCAAAUAAAUGGUAGCUUGCCAGCACAUCUGGAUAGCAUGGCUUUGGAGGAACUCUACCUAAGUUCAAACCAACUCACCGGCUCAAUACCUUCGUUGCUGAUAAAUAUCACUAUGUUAGACAUCUCCAACAAUAACUUUUCAGGAGUAAUACCAUCAAAAUUUGAAGCCUCCCGACUUCGAAUAUUGCUUAUCUAUUCAAAUCAACUUGGUGGGUACAUUCCCGAAUCAAUUUGUAAAUUGCAACAGCUACUGUAUCUGGAUUUGUCGAACAACGUAUUAGAAGGUGAAAUUCCUCAAUGCUUUGGAAUCCAAAACAUGCAAUUUCUUCUACUGGGUAACAACAGUUUAUCAGGAAAGUUCCCAGCAUUUUUGCAGAAUAAUACGGCUUUGGAGUUCUUGGAUCUUGCAUGGAAUAAGUUAUCUGGAAGAUUGCCUCCAUGGAUAGGAGAUCUGGAGAAAUUACGUUUGGUACUACUGAGCCACAAUUCAUUUUCUUAUGAUAUUCCAGUCAACACCACAAGCCUUAAGUAUCUUCAAUACUUGGAUCUAUCAUGCAACAAUUUCUCUGGUACAAUACCUUGGCAUAUGUUGAACCUAACACUUAUGACAGAAGUACAGAAGGGAUUCAUGAGUAUGGUAGAUUCAUAUGGUGGACCCACGAACAGCAUGACCCAGCCAGGAGCUAGUCACGUCGGAGAAAUAUUGUUAGUAGUAACAAAAGGACAACAACUUGUAUAUGGUAGGACACUUAUAUAUUUUGUGAGCAUUGAUUUAUCAUGUAACUCUUUGACUGGUGAAAUCCCUACAGACAUCACUUCCCUUGAUGCAUUGAUGAAUUUGAAUUUAUCAUCGAACAAAUUAAGUGGACAAAUACCAAACAUGAUUGGGGCCAUGCAGUCCGUAGUAUCUCUUGACCUCUCUGAGAACAAGCUCUCCGGUGAAAUCCCGCCGAGCUUGUCAAGUCUGGCAUCUUUGGAGGCCUUGAACCUGUCCUACAACAAUUUAUCUGGAAGGAUACCCUCUGGCCGGCAACUUGACACCCUUAAUUCGGAUAACCCUUCACUUAUAUACAUAGGCAACAGUGGACUUUGUGGGCCUCCUCUCCAAAAGAAUUGUCCAGGAAAUGAUUCUUUCAUCCACGGUGAUCUCGGAGGCAGCAAGCUAGAGUUUGAUCCACUAACCUUUCAAUUUGGUCUUGUGCUGGGACUUGUGGUGGGGUUCUGGAUGGUGUUUUGUGCACUGUUGUUCAAGAGGACAUGGAGAAUUGCUUAUUUCCGGCUCUUCGACAAGGCGUAUGAUCAAGUCUAUGUAAUUGUGGUCGUGAAGUGGGCAAGCUUCGCAAAGAACACAACAGCAGAAUAA
rnacentral:rRNA from 1 species